GGUUAAGCGACUAAGCGUACACGGUGGAUGCCCUGGCAGUCAGAGGCGAUGAAGGGCGUGCUAAUCUGCGAUAAGCGCCGGUAAGGUGAUAUGAACCGUUAUAACCGGCGAUACCCGAAUGGGGAAACCCAGUGUGACUCGUCACACUAUCAUUAACUGAAUCCAUAGGUUAAUGAGGCGAACCGGGGGAACUGAAACAUCUAAGUACCCCGAGGAAAAGAAAUCAACCGAGAUUCCCCCAGUAGCGGCGAGCGAACGGGGAGGAGCCCAGAGCCUGAAUCAGCAUGUGUGUUAGUGGAAGCGUCUGGAAAGUCGCGCGAUACAGGGUGACAGCCCCGUACACAAAAGCGCAUGUGUUGUGAGCUCGAUGAGUAGGGCGGGACACGUGGUAUCCUGUCUGAAUAUGGGGGGACCAUCCUCCAAGGCUAAAUACUCCUGACUGACCGAUAGUGAACCAGUACCGUGAGGGAAAGGCGAAAAGAACCCCGGCGAGGGGAGUGAAAAAGAACCUGAAACCGUGUACGUACAAGCAGUGGGAGCCCCACCACCAAAGCAUUCUCUGGUGUUGAAGGCCCUGCAAAGCAGCAUCGCGGUGGCGGAGCGUCGUUUGCGACGCCCAACACAAAAAACAAGCGGUGAGUGCUUUGGGGUGGGGUGACUGCGUACCUUUUGUAUAAUGGGUCAGCGACUUAUAUUCUGUAGCAAGGUUAACCGAAUAGGGGAGCCGUAGGGAAACCGAGUCUUAAC
rnacentral:rRNA from 1 species